AUUAGGGAAUCCCAUUUGCGUAUAAUGUUCCAGAAGAUUGAGAAAUCUUUUAAAGAGAAUGUUCGAAGAAAUUUGCAAUCUGAAGACAUUAUAUGCCAAAAUGGAACCACUGCUGAAAAUGAAGCUGGUGAAGCAGAUUCUAGCCCUAAUUGCUCUGCUGGCAUCAGCAGUCCUAGCAGUAUGGUUUGUGGUUCAAACUUAGAUACCUUGGAUACAUUUUCUUUUUUCAGAAUUGAGCUUGGAAGAAAUGAAAUAGAAAAGAAAGGUGCCAUGAAAAGGUACCAAGAUUUUCAGAAGUGGAUGUGGAAGGAAUGCUUCAAUUCCUUGACUUUAUGUUCCAUGAAAUAUGGGAAGAAAAGGUGUUCACAGAUAUUGACAACUUGUGACUGGUGUUUUGAUUCUUUUCUCACUGAAGACACUCACUGUGAUUCUUGCCACCAGACAUUCAAUGCUGUUAAUAAGAGUUAUAAUUUUUCAGAACAUGGGGUUCAGUGUAAAGUUAAAAGGAAACUAAACCACAGGAUUUGUGAUGCUUCUCUACCUCUGGGCAUCAGAUUACUUAAAGCUUUGUUAGCUUUCAUUGAGGUAUCUGUUCCCCCAGAAGGUCUCGAGUCAUUUUGGAUGGAAAACCACAGAAAGACCUGGGCUACAAAGUUGAACGUGUCAUUGUCAACUGAAGAACUCUUGCAGAUAUUGACGGUGCUUGAGAGUGCCAUAAAACGAGACUGUUUAUCUGCUGAUUUUGAGACGACAAAAGAUUUAUUGAGUUCUUCCACUUCGGCACAGAGUGCAUUAUAUGGUUCUACUGA
rnacentral:misc_RNA from 1 species